UACGUAUGGUGCGAGCGUUAUCCGGAUUUACUGGGUGUAAAGGGAGCGCAGGCGGCGCGGCAAGUCCGAUGCGAAAACCCCCGGCUCAACCGGGGGACUGCAUUGGAAACUACCGGGCUGGAGUGCCGGAGAGGUAGGCGGAAUUCCUGGUGUAGCGGUGAAAUGCGUAGAUAUCAGGAGGAACACCAGUGGCGAAGGCGGCCUACUGGACGGUGACUGACGCUGAGGCUCGAAAGCGUGGGGAGCAAACAGG
rnacentral:rRNA from 1 species